CAGGUGGUCAGGUAGAGAAUACCAAGGCGCUUGAGAGAACUCGGGUGAAGGAACUAGGCAAAAUGGUGCCGUAACUUCGGGAGAAGGCACGCUGAUAUGUAGGUGAAGCGACUUGCUCGUGGAGCUGAAAUCAGUCGAAGAUACCAGCUGGCUGCAACUGUUUAUUAAAAACACAGCACUGUGCAAACACGAAAGUGGACGUAUACGGUGUGACGCCUGCCCGGUGCCGGAAGGUUAAUUGAUGGGGUUAGCGGUAACGCGAAGCUCUUGAUCGAAGCCCCGGUAA
rnacentral:rRNA from 1 species